UGGCUAAAAACCACUGAUCAAUGGUGGAGAAAAAUGCCACCUAGUGAAGCCUCACGAUGCAUCAAAGAAAUAUCAAAAAAAUUAUUUCGAAGAGUCUUUCUGUGUGAAGCAACUCUUGGAUUUUUUUUUCGAUAUUUGCCAUGUAUCAAAUGCUUCUAGAUGGAUGUGGAAAUUUGACUUGGGGCAUGAGAUAAUCUGGAUGGGCAUG
rnacentral:lncRNA from 1 species